AGUUACAACCCCUUAUACACCUACGGGCAGUCAAAGUUGGCCAACAUAUUGCAUGCCAAUGAGCUAACAAGACAAUUUAAGGAAGAAAGAGUGGAGUUAACAGCAAACUCGCUGCAUCCUGGUGCCAUUGCAACCAGUCUUUUACGUCAUCACAGCUUUCUCGAGGGUGUAAUGAACUGGGUUGGUAAAUACUUCCUGAAAACUAUCCCACAGGGAGCUGCAACUACAUGUUAUGUGGCGUUACACCCACAAGUCAAAGGGGUCAGCGGCGAGUAUUUUUCAGACAGUAACAUAGCAAAGCCAAGUUCCCUUGCUAAAGAUUCUGAUUUGGCUAAGAAACUUUGGGAUUUUAGCCUGAGCAUGGUGGCUCUAUAAUUAGACUGAAUAUAGUGAAAUAUUGUAAGAUUUGCUUAUAUGGUUUCAUGCAUGAGGAUUUUUUUUACUUGCAAUAGCAAGGUGCAAUCUUAUUAUCUUUAAAAGAUUUGUAAUGUGACAUGUAAUAUUGUAAAUAAGACUUGAACACUUAUUUAAGUUAUUAUCAU